UAGAAAAGCUCGCCGACAUCGGGUACAUUGAAUUGUAUCAUGUUAUUGAGAAAGGUCGAAAAUCUAUUUUCGCAAAAUCGUCUGUUAGGACAUGUUUAAAAUAUCGACACGCAAUUUUAAUCACGUGUUUAUUUUUUAUCUUUUAAGUUUUGUUGAAGUGUCUUUGUAUCCGUUAUGCUUUAUUUGGGAUACUAAAUAAAGAAAACAGGACCGUAAUAAACAUGACUGAACAUUGGAUUAAUGCGACCGUAUGGUUUGCAUGCUGCAUGAUGUAUUUUAAAACAGUUUCAUCAGAUGCCGUCACCAGCACCACUAGGACACAGAUGUUCCCAGCCGUAGGCAUAAUCGGUGGAGAGAAUCGUGAUUUGAUGUUUGCUACAAGCGGAUCUGUUCGAGACCUAUUUUUGAUCUAUGACGCCUCUAAAAUUAACGUGAACAUCAGCAGGAGUGGGUCACUUCGCGACCUCUUCCCAGACGCGCGCUCUGAUGAAUCAGUCCCACAAAAGAAGUUAUCGGUAGGAGCGAUAGCUGGGAUCGUCGUCGGCAGUGUUGUUGGUUUUCUUAUAAUUAUAGGGGUGUGCUGCUGCUGCUACUGUUUGCGUAACGGGUAAUCAUACAGAAAAGGGAGUUAAAAGCUUUACAAUUAUUUUACUCCUUAAAACAAUUGAUUAUUUGCUUUUUAUUCUGUGUUAUCGUCUUCGUUGUAAUAACUUUAUAAAUGAUUUUAAAUAUAACACUUGUGUAAUAUAGAAUGUUAUGUGUUUUGAAUGUGUUUUUUUAUUAUUGUUUUUGUGACGUUAUUAUGUUGAAGUGGCUGUAUACGUGUUUUUUUAUUGACCUUUGCAAGGCAGCAAGCAUAGCUUUAAUCAUUUUAAUAGUAUUUUGUUAGAUGUAUUUAUUUUUAUCUUGUGUGUAAUAGCUGAUGGGGAAAAAGGUUGCGCUCUUGAUACUCUUUCUUACGUUUCAUGAUUACUAUAUUUAUCUUAUAAAAUGACAUCAUAUUAGUAAACAGUUUCAACUUGUCUUGAUUAAAAUAUACUUUAAUUUCUCAUAUUUCGACUUUAAUUAUUGUGUUACAAGUAACCAUUACAAAUACAAUAAAAACAUUCUUCAUUGA